CCGCCUUGUCGGGGGAGUCUCACCAAGGAGACUGAGAGGCUGACAGGCGCAAGGGCAACCUUGCACCGGCGACGCGACCCUUAGAACCUGACCCAGUUGACACUGGCGUAGGGAGACCAAGGGACGCAGUG
rnacentral:ncRNA from 1 species